AUGGUGCUCAGAGGACGAAAGACUAGAGAUGAGCAUAAGGUUAAAGCAAGACUUGGGAUGUUGCCAGGUGCAGACACAGGCCCUGAAAAAAGAGCAGCUAUCAUAGCUGGAGCCAGUGCUAAUUCAGGUUUGCUGUUUAUGUCCAACCUGGAAGUGGGCUUUCCAAAUGAAAAGUCAAGGAGAAAACUGGAAACAGCAAAAAUUCCAAAGAGUGUUUUAUCAACAAAAAUGGCCUCCAAGUAUUUGCUUAUUGCUAAGUGUGUGUUGGGGGAUGGGGAAUAAGUUAUGAAAUGAUAGGUACAGGAUGUUUCUAUUUUUGCAAAUGUAUAUGUGAAAAUAGAAAAAAAUACCAGAAGGAAAGGUAAUCAUUCAUUCAUCAAAUGUUUCCUGAGUAUGCUCUAGGUAUUCAGGAGACAAGGGUGAGCAAAAGGUGACACAGUUCCUACCUUCAAGGAGCUUUCCGUCUAGUGAGGGAGACCAACACACACACUGCAGUCAUUCUAAGUGUCAGAAGGAAAUGCACUUGGUGGUAAACUUCUUCAGGGGCCAUGUGACCUGGUCAAAGAAGUCAGCAAGGGCUUCUUGGAUGACUGAGCUGUGAUAGAUGAGAAUACAGUACCUGUGUGAAGUGUUGUCCAGGCAGAGGCUACAGCAUGGACAAAGACCAGUGAGGAGGGGCCACAGCAAGUAUAAGGAACUGGAAGGAGGCCAUGUGGUUGGAGUGAAAAAUGCUGGGUAGAGAAUAGUGUGGAAUGAGGCUGGAGAGGUAGGUAGGGCCAGACCACAUAGGGUCUUACAAGCCACAUUGAGGAGUUUUGUCUGUACCUCUGAGGGGUUGGGAGAGCAGCUGAGGGUAGGAUAUAUAAGAUAUAAUCAGAUCUGCACUUGAGGAGUUCCCAAUGCGGCACAGCUGGUUAAGAAUCCUAUUGUGGGAGUUCCCAUCAUGGCUCAGCGGUUAAUGAAUCCGACUAGGAACCAUGAGGUUGCAGGUUGGAUCCCUGGCCUUGCUCCGUGGGUUAAGGAUCCUGUGUUGCUGUGGCUCUGGCAUAGGCCAGCGGCUACAUCUACGAUUAGACCCCUAGCCUGGAAACCUCCAUAUGCCCCAGGUGGGGCCCUAGAAAAGGCAAAAAGACAAAAAAAAAAAAAAAAGCUGAUUGUGGCAGCUUAGGCCACUGUGUAGGUGUGGGUUCAAUCCCCAGCCUGGUACAGUGAACUAAAGGAUCUGGCAUUGCCACAGCUAUGUUGUAGUUCACAGCUUGGAGUCAGUCCCUGGCCUGGGAACUUCCAUAUGCUGCAGGUGUGGCCAUAAAAAAAUAAUAAUGAAAAAACAAAUCAGGAGUUCACAUUGUGGCUCAGCAGGUUAAGUACCCAACAUUGUCUGUAUGAGGAUGUGGGUUAGACCCCUGGCCUCACUCCGUGGGUUAAGAAUUUGGUAUUGCUGGUAUGCUGUGGGGUAGGCCUCAGAUGCAGCUCUGAUUCAGCCCCUAGCACAGGACUUGUAUAUGCCACAGGUGCAGCUAUUAAAAAAUAAAAUAAAAAAUCAGAUUUGCA
rnacentral:lncRNA from 1 species